UACGAAGGGGGCUAGCGUUGCUCGGAAUCACUGGGCGUAAAGCGCACGUAGGCCGAUUGGUAAGUCAGGGGUGAAAUCCUGGAGCUCAACUCCAGAACUGCCCUUGAUACUGACGGUCUCGAGUCCGGGAGAGGUGAGUGGAACUGCGAGUGUAGAGGUGAAAUUCGUAGAUAUUCGCAAGAACACCAGUGGCGAAGGCGGCUCACUGGCCCGGUACUGACGCUGAGGUGCGAAAGCGUGGGGAGCAAACAGG
rnacentral:rRNA from 1 species